rnacentral:rRNA from 1 species
AGAGUUUGAUCAUGGCUCAGAACGAACGCUGGCGGCGUGCUUAACACAUGCAAGUCGAGUGCGCGGUGCGGGUAGCAAUACUCGUACUGGCGCACGGCGCACGGGUGCGUAACACGUGGGCAAUCUGCCCUCCGAUGGGGAAUAACUCCGGGAAACCGAAGCUAAUUCCGCAUAACAUUCCUUGGACUCCGGUUCGGGGAUUCAAAGCAGCAAUGCGUCGGAGGAGGAGCCCGCGCCCGAUUAGCUAGUUGGUGAGGUAAUGGCUCACCAAGGCAAUGAUCGGUAGCUGGUCUGAGAGGAUGGCCAGCCACACUGGAACUGAGACACGGUCCAGACUCCUACGGGAGGCAGCAGUGGGGAAUCUUGCGCAAUGGGCGAAAGCCUGACGCAGCGACGCCGCGUGGGGGAUGAAGCUUCUCGGAGUGUAAACCCCUUUCGACUGGGACGAAUGCCUCGCAAGAGGAGUGACGGUACCAGUAGAAGAAGCCCCGGCUAACUACGUGCCAGCAGCCGCGGUAAGACGUAGGGGGCCAGCGUUGUUCGGAAUUACUGGGUGUAAAGGGUUCGUAGGCGGUGUGGCAAGUCGGGAGUGAAAUCUAUGGGCUUAACUCAUAGUCUGCUUCCGAAACUGCUGUGCUGGAGUGUGGGAGAGGCGCGUGGAAUUGCAGGUGUAGCGGUGAAAUGCGUAGAUAUCUGCAGGAACACCCGUGGCGAAAGCGGCGCGCUGGACCACUACUGACGCUGAGGAACGAAAGCUAGGGGAGCAAACAGGAUUAGAUACCCUAGUAGUCC